rfam:Orenia sp. Z6 2524618309, whole genome shotgun sequence.
UUUACCUUUAAGUUAAUCCAGAGAGAUUAGCAAGGUCUAAAACUAAUAUUUAGGAUUAGUAUAUCUUUUGCUAUAAAUCCUUGAUAAAAAAGUCCCUUGCCAAUCUUCUGGCAGGGGAUUUUUUAU